UACAGAGGUCUCAAGCGUUGUUCGGAUUCAUUGGGCGUAAAGGGUGCGUAGGCGGUGUCGUAAGUCGGAUGUGAAAUCCCGGGGCUUAACUUCGGAACUGCAUUCGAUACUGCGAUACUCGAGGACUCGAGAGGAGAUUGGAAUUCACGGUGUAGCAGUGAAAUGCGUAGAUAUCGUGAGGAAGACCAGUGGCGAAGGCGGAUCUCUGGAGAGUUCCUGACGCUGAGGCACGAAGGCCAGGGGAGCGAACGGG
rnacentral:rRNA from 1 species